UACGUAGGUGGCAAGCGUUGUCCGGAUUUACUGGGCGUAAAGAGCGCGCAGGCGGCCGAGUAAGUCGAAUGUGAAAGCCCCCGGCUCAACUGGGGAAGGUCAUUCGAUACUGUUCGGCUCGAAGAUAGGAGAGGGAAGCGGAAUUUCAGGUGUAGCGGUGAAAUGCGCAGAUAUCAGGAAGAACACCCGUGGCGAAGGCGGUUCUCUGGGACGGUACUGACGCUGAGACGCGAAAGCGUGGGGAGCAAACAGG
rnacentral:rRNA from 1 species